GACGAACGCUGGCGGCGUGCUUAACACAUGCAAGUCGAACGGAAAGGCCCUGCUUUUGUGGGGUGCUCGAGUGGCGAACGGGUGAGUAACACGUGAGUAACCUGCCCUUGACUUUGGGAUAACUUCAGGAAACUGGGGCUAAUACCGGAUAGGAGCUCCUGCUGCAUGGUGGGGGUUGGAAAGUUUCGGCGGUUGGGGAUGGACUCGCGGCUUAUCAGCUUGUUGGUGGGGUAGUGGCUUACCAAGGCUUUGACGGGUAGCCGGCCUGAGAGGGUGACCGGCAACAUUGGGACUGAGAUACGGCCCAGACUGCUACGGGAGGCAGCAGGGGGGAAUAUUGCACAAUGGGCGGAAGCCUGAUGCAGCAACGCCGCGUGCGGGAUGACGGCCUUCGGGUUGUAAACCGCUUUCGCCUGUGACGAAGCGUGAGUGACGGUAAUGGGUAAAGAAGCACCGGCUAACUACGUG
rnacentral:rRNA from 1 species